GAUGAAGAACGUAGCGAAAUGCGAUAAGUAAUGUGAAUUGCAGAAUUCAGUGAAUCAUCGAAUCUUUGAACGCACAUUGCGCCCUCUGGUAUUCCGGGGGGCAUGCCUGUUCGAGCGUCAUUAUAACCACUCAAGCUCUCGCUUGGUAUUGGGGUUCGCGGUUUCGCGGCCCCUAAAAUCAGUGGCGGUGCCUGUCGGCUCUACGCGUAGUAAUACUUCUCGCGAUUGAGUCCGAUAGGUCUACUUGCCAGUAACCCCCAAUUUUUACAGGUUGACCUCGGAUCAGGUAGGGAUACCCGCUGAACUUAAGCAUAUCAAUAAGCGGAGG
rnacentral:misc_RNA from 1 species